rnacentral:rRNA from 1 species
CCUCAGGUUUUUGGAGGAAGGUUCGUCCGCUCCAAGUUAGGCGGGAGCUAAGGUCAGGCCGCAAGGCGUAGCCGAUGCACAGACGGUAGAGAUUCCGUCCCCACCGAAAGAUUUAAGCACAGGGACACUUUUAGAAGGUCGGAGCCAGGUGUUGGUUCUGGUAGUGAUCGAGGGAAAUUUAGUACCGAAGUCCGGCUGGAUGAGAGGCGAGAAAAGCUGUGUGUAUAUCUAAGGUGCCCGUACCGCAAACCGACACAGGUAGGUAGGAAGAAGAUUCUAAGGCCAACGGGAGAAGGGUUGUUAAGGAACUCGGCAAGUUGACCCCGUAACUUCGGAAUAAGGGGUGCUCACGAGAGUGAGCCGCAGAGAAUAGGCCCAGGCAACUGUUUACCAAAAACACAGGUUUGUGCUAAAUCGAAAGAUGACGUAUACGAGCUGACGCCUGCCCGGUGCUGGAAGGUUAAAAGGAGAUGUGCAAGCAUUGAAUUGAAGCCCCAGUGAACGGCGGCCGUAACUAUAACGGUCCUAAGGUAGCGAAAUUCCUUGUCAGGUAAGUUCUGACCCGCAUGAAAGGCGUAAUGAUCUGGGCACUGUCUCAACAGCCCGCCCGGCGAAAUUGUAGUACCGGUGAAGAUGCCGGUUACCCGCGACAAGACGGAAAGACCCCAUGGAGCUUUACUGUAGCCUGAUAUUGGGUUUCGGUGUUGCAUGCACAGGAUAGAUGGGACACUGGGAAGCGAGCGCUUUGGCGUUCGUGGAGUGGACGUUGGGAUACCAUCCUUGCGACAUUGGAAUUCUAACCUGCGCCUCUGAAUCGAGGCGGGGGACAUUGUCAGGUGGGCAGUUUGACUGGGGCGGUCGCCUCCUAAAAAGUAGCGGAGGCGUUCAAAGGUUCGUUCGAUCUGGACGGAAACCAGAUGAAUGAGUGCAAACGCAUAAACGAGCCUGACUGCGAGACUGACGGGUCGAGCAGAGACGAAAGUCGGAGUUAGUGAUCCGGUGGUAUGUGAGUGGAAAUGCCAUCGCUCAACGGAUAAAAGCUACCCUGGGGAUAACAGGCUGAUCUCCCCCAAGAGUCCACAUCGACGGGGAGGUUUGGCACCUCGAUGUCGGCUCAUCGCAUCCUGGGGCUGAAUUCGGUCCCAAGGGUUUGGCUGUUCGCCAAUUAAAGCGGUACGCGAGCUGGGUUCAGAACGUCGUGAGACAGUUCGGUCCCUAUCUGUCGUGGGCGCAGGAUAUUUGAAAGGCGCUGUCCCUAGUACGAGAGGACCGGGAUGGACGAACCUCUGGUGCACCAGUUGUCACGCCAGUGGCACAGCUGGGCAGCUAUGUUCGGAUCGGAUAAACGCUGAAAGCAUCUAAGCGUGAAGCCGGCCUUAAGAUAAGAUAUCCCACUGAGUCAAUCAGGUAAGACCCCUUGAAGACUACAAGGUUGAUAGGCACACAGUGUAAGCGGAGUGAUCCGUUCAGCUAGCGUGUACUAAUAGGUCGAGGGCUUGACCC